rnacentral:rRNA from 1 species
UACAUGGGGUGCAAACGUUGCUCGGAAUUAUUGGGCGUAAAGCGCACGUAGGCGGUUCGUUAAGUCGGAUGUGAAAGCCCUCGGCUCAACUGAGGAAGUGCACCCGAAACUGGCGAGCUUGAGUACGAAAGAGGAUCGCGGAAUUCCCGGUGUAGAGGUGAAAUUCGUAGAUAUCGAGAGGAACACCGGUGGCGAAGGCGGCGAUCUGGACGAUGACUGACGCUGGAGACGCGAAAGCGUGGGGAGCAAACAGG